GGGAAAGUGGUCACAUGCAGAGCUAGGCUAGUGGGAGGGAAGGGAAAGUGGUCACAUGCAGAGCUAGGCUAGUGGGACAGGAGGGAAAGUGGUCACAUGCAGAGCUAGGCUAGUGGGAGGGAAGGGAAAGUGGUCACAUGCAGAGCUAGGCUAGUGGGAGGGAAGGGAAAGUGGUCACAGGCAGAGCUAGUCGGAGGGAAGGGAAAGUGGUCACAGGUAGAGCUAGGCUAGUGGGAGGGAAGGGAAAGUGGUCACAGGCAGAGCUAGUCGGAGGGAAGGGAAAGUGGUCACAGGCAGAGCUAGCCUAGUGGGAGUGGAGGGAAAGUGGUCACAGGCAGGGCUAGGCUAGUGGGAGGGGAGAGAAAGUGGUCACAGGCAGAGCUAGGCUAGUGGGAAGGAAGGGAAAGUGGUCACAGGCAGAGCUAGGCUAGUGGGAGGGAAAGGAAGGGUGGUGACAGGCAGGGCUAAUAGGAGGGAAGGGAAAGUGGCCAUAGGCAGGGCUAGUU
ensembl:lncRNA